UCCCCAACAAUGGGCAGCUGUGAAUGGGAAGUCCAAGAAUCUAGUAGUUGCUCAGUCCCACAAGGCUAGUUGUUUCAGUUAGUCUUCUGUAGAGGUAGGUUCUAACAAAUGUGCUGGCAAGUAAGUGCAAGCAGGCAAAGAAGAGUGAAUCUGCCUUCUUCCAAUGCCCAAUGUUCAAUGUAGGCCUCCAGAAGAAGACAUAGCCCAGAUUAAAGUGUUUGUUCAUUGAAGCUAUGAAGAGGACCACAAAAGGACAGGGAAAUAUGCAUAUUGACUGCAGUCCACCCAGUGACCUGAAGAUUAGCAUGUAUGAGCAGUGGUCACUCUGGACUGGACUCUAACGAAGCAUUGUUCCUGGGUGAAACAAUGGAAAUAAAGGAGAAGCCAUCAGCAGAAAAGCACAGGUCAACCUAAUAUGCUGGCCAAUAUACUGCAGUUCCCAGAUGUUUUGAUUGAGAAGCACUCAAAUCACUACUACUUUGCCAAAUAAUAAAACAGCCUCUGAUUUUGGAAAGAUUCA